GGUGAAUUGGCUCAGUUGGUAGAGCGUGGGUCUCAUAAUCCCAAGGCCCCGGGUUCGAUCCCCGGAUUCGCCA
rnacentral:tRNA from 1 species